UCACAUACCUAAGCUGUAUCACUAUCCACUUUGGAUUGAAGUAAAUUACCAUAUCAAAUUAAAUAUCAAGACAUAACACUAAUCUAAAUGUGAAAGAACAAUCGGAACAGAUGCUUUCAGAAAGACAUGGAAAAACCACGUCAUUUUUGGAGCAAAUCAAAUAGCCUCCCCUCAAACCCUUUUGGCUGCCAUUUUGAAUUUAUGUGAAUUUUCAUUAGGCUCCUUGCAUAAUUGGCUACAGCCCUGGUGUGUUGGAGGGGAUAUGAUGGAUUUGAUUGUCUUUCAGCCUUUCAGAGUGGAUUAGCCUUCGCUAUCAUCUGCCACAGAGAGAGACAGGAGACUGAGUCAGUACUGGUCUGAGUUUGGUUCAUCUGCCAUAGAGAGAGACAGGAGACUGAGUCAGUACAGGUCUGAGUUUGGUUCAUCUGCCAUAGAGAGAGACAGGAGACUGAGUCAGUACAGGUCUGAGUUUGGUUCAUCUGCCACACAGAGAGACAGGAGACUGAGUCAGUACUGGUCUGAGUUUGGUUCAUCUGCCAUAGAGAGAGACAGGAGACUGAGUCAGUACAGGUCUGAGUUUGGUUCAUCUGCCAUAGAGAGAGACAGGAGACUGAGUCAGUACAGGUCUGAGUUUGGUUCAUCUGCCAUAGAGAGAGACAGGAGAGUGAGCCAGUACAGGUCUGAGUUUGGUUCAACAGCAAUACAGAGACAGAAGACUGAGUCAGUACAGGUCUGGUUUGGUUUAUCUGCUAUAGAGAAAGACAGGAGACUGAGUCAGUACAGGUCUGAGUUUGGUUCAACAGCAACAUAAAGACAGGAGACUGAGUCAGUACAGGACUGAGUUUAGUUCAACAGCCACACAGAGAGACAGGAGACUGAGUCAGUACAGGACUGAGUUUGGUUCAUGUGCCAUAGAGAGAGACAGGAGACUGAGUCAGUACAGGACUGAGUUUGGUUCAUGUGCCAUAGAGAGAGACAGGAGACUGAGUCAGUACAGGACUGAGUUUGGUUCAUGUGCCAUAGAGAGAGACAGGAGACUGAGUCAGAACAGGUCUGAGUUUGGUUCAACAGCCACACAGAGAGACAGGAGACUGAGUCAGUACAGGACUGAGUUUGGUUCAUGUGCCAUAGAGAGAGACAGGAGACUGAGUCAGUACAGGACUGAGUUUGGUUCAUGUGCCAUAGAGAGAGACAGGAGACUGAGUCAGUACAGGUCUGAGUUUGGUUCAACAGCCACAGAGAGAGACAGGAGACUGAGUCAGUACAGGACUGAGUUUGGUUCAUGUGCCAUAGAGAGAGACAGGAGACUGAGUCAGUACAGGUCUGAGUUUGGUUCAACAGCCACAGAGAGAGACAGGAGACUGAGUCAGUACAGGUCUGAGUUUGGUUCAACAGCCAUAGAGAGAGACAGGAGACUGAGUCAGUACAGGACUGAGUUUGGUUCAUGUGACAUAGAGAGAGACAGGAGACUGAGUCAGUACAGGUCUGAGUUUGGUUCAACAGCCACAGAGAGAGACAGGAGACUGAGUCAGUACAGGUCUGAGUUUGGAUCAUCUGUAACAGAGAGAGACAGGAGACUGAGUCAGUACAGGACUGAAUUUGGUUCAACGCCACAGAGACAGGAGACUGAGUCAGUACAGGUCUGAGUUUGGAUCAUCUGUAACAGAGAGAGAAGCCAGUCAGUCAGUACUGGUCUGAGUUUCACUUGGCCAUAGAGGAAGUUCUGAUCCAUUGUGGAAUAUGAAAAAUAUUGUACUCUGCUUGUAAAAGUCAAGAAUAUAAAAGAAAAAACCUGUGCAACUGUACACCUUUUAAUAAUUAAACAAAUAAUAAUCUAGUUAGAUGUGAUUAUUU